GACAGAGGGGGCAAGCGUUGCUCGGAAUUACUGGGCGUAAAGGGCGCGUAGGCGGGAUGGCAAGUCGGUCGUGAAAUCCCUCGGCUCAACCGAGGAACGUCGAUCGAUACUGCUGUUCUUGAGGAUUGCAGAGGAGACUGGAAUUCCCGGUGUAGCGGUGAAAUGCGCAGAUAUCGGGAAGAACACCUAUGGCGAAGGCAGCUCUCUGGGACGGUACUGACGCUGAGACGCGAAAGCGUGGGGAGCGAACAGG
rnacentral:rRNA from 1 species